GGGGGGGAUCUUGUUUCAUUUCGAGAACUAGGAAACCAAACGGUCAAACUUUUCCUUAUUGCCGUCCUCAUCAGAAUGUGUGGAGGUCAAAGGUCACCUCGCGGGCUCGGAGAGGGGACCUUGAGGUCAGCACAGAGCAGGAAGUGAUGCGACCCAAACCUGCUCUCUGAAGCUCUUUACCUGGUCCUGUUGCUUGGCCAUCACAUCGUUGUGUGUUGGUUUCUGAUCGGAGCCAAAGUCUGAGUGGCAUCGUCCUCGGUCCAGUUCAUGACCGGCACCACCAACGGGUGACGGGUGAUGACGUCAGGGAUACAGUGUGGUGAUGGAGGAGAGGUCCUCAUUAAGGGAUGGGUCGUCAUGGGUACAGCAUCCCUGUAGAACCAGUGUAUGGAGGUCUGAUGUCUGCGCUCUGUUCAAAUCCAGCGAAGGACUUCUGGGCAAAUAUCUGGACAGAGAAGUGUGUGUGUUGAUUUCUGGCCUGUACCCUGACCUCUGAACCUUGACCGCUGUACCCUCGUGGAACCUGUGGGGUCAUGUUACAGAGAACUCAUUUCUCUCUCUCAGCCUCAUUGUGUGUGUGUGUGUGUGUGUGUGUGUGUGUGUGUGUGUGUGUGUGUGUGUGUGCGCGCUACAGGACAUGGGAUGGAUUCCCUCGUGGAAAACACGUUUGUUAUUAUUAAUGAAGGGACAGAGGGCCGACCAAGGCUGUGUUUCCAUCUCCCAACACGCCGUCGAUAGCAUUCCUUUAAGAGUCACUCGUUCCUCAUCAUUUCAACAGUCCUCAGCGUAGCCCCCCCCCCACAUCACUGUGCCUUUUGUUACGUAUUGACUUCUCUUUCUGUCUCACUCUCCCCUCACCCGUCUCUCUCUCCUCACCUGUCUAUGAGCAGGUGGGUUUAUCGGCUGGCUUCAUUCACUCACUGUGCUUUACACCGAAUGCGUUCUGGGACUUUUUAUUGAUUUUAUGUAUCUCAAAGUCUUAAUGCUUAAUGUGCUUUACAUAUGAUUGUAUGAUUUAAUGUUUACUUUCGUGGGCUUUACAUCACUACAUGUGCUUUGAUCGGUUACUCAUGUGUUUUUAAAUUGUUUUUACUCUUAUCAAACUGUAACCGCGUCUCGUUGGCAUGUGACCAUCCGCUCUGCCGCCCCCUGGUGGGGGCGUUCAGAGUUCACACCCGGGCGGAAUGUGCACCAAUCAAACUAUAUGUAAUAAUAACGGACUCCUAGAGAAUUAUACUGCAAACGAAACUAUUUUUUAUACGUUAUGAUUGUCCAGUGCUUCUGAGUGUAACUGUGUGAUUUAUUCUAUGAACUAACACUUGAACGAACACCCACCCACCCAGAUAACAUUAUUAACCCGACCAGCUCGUUAGUGCAUGCGGUAGCCUACUGGUUGCGUCGCGGGGGGUUGUUUCUAUACACUUCGUUAAAGUGUUCCUUUAACUAAGUUAGUACUGUUCCAGACUCUUAGUACGACGUUAAUACACCGACACACGGCCGUCCACCCUGUCCCUAGAGACCUGUGUGGCUCCUCACGUCCAGGACUGUUCUGAUUAGACGUGCGUCUCUCUCUCUCUCUCUCUCUCUGUCUCUCUCUCUGUCUCUCUCUCUCUCUCUGUCUCUCUCUCUCUCUCUCUCUCUGUCUCUGUCUCUCUCUCUCUCUCUCUCUCUCUCUCUCUCUCUCUCUCUCUCUCUGUCUCUCUCUCUCUCUGUCUGUCUGUCUGUCUGUCUGUCUGUCUCUCUGUCUGUCUCUCUCUCUGUCUGUCUGUCUGUCUGUCGGUCUCUCUUUGCCUCUUUCUCUCUGUCCGUCUCUUCACUCCCUUCAUCCACAUGAGCGCGUAGGGAGGAGUGCGCCACAGGGGGCGCUAGUAGCACCGGCCUACACUACGCAUGCGCGGCCGCGGAUUUAGCCGAGUCUUCUUGACAUUACUUGUCUCAUGAGGUCUGUGCUCAUUGGUUCCCCACGCCGCAUCAUCGGGGGGUCGGGGUGACCCCUUGGGUUUAAGCUUAUCGCUGUGAUUCAAGAAAAUGUAAAACUUCUUCGCAAUAAUGUUUUUAUUUAUUUUCUAUACGAAUAAAGAGAAUUGUAUAAAAAAAAGAGAUGUUCCUCAAUCGAAAUGUCCCGACGGGUAAUGUACAGAGUAAACAUGCGUGUAACUGUGCGCUCAUUCUGCUGAACCAGCAGUCAUCCACCAAAUAAAGCUGUACAUGAUGUCUCA
ensembl:lncRNA